UACGUAGGGUGCGAGCGUUGUCCGGAAUUAUUGGGCGUAAAGAGCUCGUAGGCGGCCUGUCGCGUCGGAUGUGAAAGCCCGGGGCUCAACCCCGGGUCUGCAUUCGAUACGGGCAGGCUGGAGUGUGGUAGGGGAGAUCGGAAUUCCUGGUGUAGCGGUGAAAUGCGCAGAUAUCAGGAGGAACACCGGUGGCGAAGGCGGGUCUCUGGGCCAUUACUGACGCUGAGGAGCGAAAGCGUGGGGAGCGAACAGG
rnacentral:rRNA from 1 species